rnacentral:rRNA from 1 species
GACGAACGCUGGCGGCGUGCUUAACACAUGCAAGUCGAACGGAAAGGCCCUGCUUUUGUGGGGUGCUCGAGUGGCGAACGGGUGAGUAACACGUGAGUAACCUGCCCUUGACUUUGGGAUAACUUCAGGAAACUGGGGCUAAUACCGGAUAGGAGCUCCUGCUGCAUGGUGGGGGUUGGAAAGUUUCGGCGGUUGGGGAUGGACUCGCGGCUUAUCAGCUUGUUGGUGGGGUAGUGGCUUACCAAGGGUUUGACGGGUAGCCGGCCUGAGAGGGUGACCGGCCACAUUGGGACUGAGAUACGGCCCAGACUCCUACGGGAGGCAGCAGUGGGGAAUAUUACACAAUGGGCGGAAGCCUGAUGCAGCAACGCCGCGUGCGGGAUGACGGCUUUCGGGUUGUAAACCGCUUUCGCCUGUGACGAGGCGUGAGUGACGGUACUGGGUAAAGAAGCACCGGCUAACUACGUG